UACAGAGGUCCCAAGCGUUGUUCGGAUUCAUUGGGCGUAAAGGGUGCGUAGGUGGCGCCGUAAGUCGGGUGUGAAAUUUCGGAGCUUAACUCCGAAACUGCAUUCGAUACUGCGGUGCUUGAGGACUGGAGAGGAGACUGGAAUUUACGGUGUAGCAGUGAAAUGCGUAGAGAUCGUAAGGAAGACCAGUGGCGAAGGCGGGUCUCGUGGACAGUUCCUGACACUGAGGCACGAAGGCCAGGGGAGCAAACGGG
rnacentral:rRNA from 1 species